GGGUUGUGAGGUUAAGCGACUAAGCGUACACGGUGGAUGCCCUGGCAGUCAGAGGCGAUGAAGGACGUGCUAAUCUGCGAUAAGCGUCGGUGAGGUGAUAUGAACCGUUAUAACCGGCGAUUUCCGAAUGGGGAAACCCAGUGUGUUUCGACACACUAUCAUUAACUGAAUCCAUAGGUUAAUGAGGCGAACCGGGGGAACUGAAACAUCUAAGUACCCCGAGGAAAAGAAAUCAACCGAGAUUCCCCCAGUAGCGGCGAGCGAACGGGGAGGAGCCCAGAGCCUGAAUCAGUGUGUGUGUUAGUGGAAGCGUCUGGAAAGGCGCGCGAUACAGGGUGACAGCCCCGUACACAAAAAUGCACAUGCUGUGAGCUCGAUGAGUAGGGCGGGACACGUGGUAUCCUGUCUGAAUAUGGGGGGACCAUCCUCCAAGGCUAAAUACUCCUGACUGACCGAUAGUGAACCAGUACCGUGAGGGAAAGGCGAAAAGAACCCCGGCGAGGGGAGUGAAAAAGAACCUGAAACCGUGUACGUACAAGCAGUGGGAGCCUCUUAAUGGGGUGACUGCGUACCUUUUGUAUAAUGGGUCAGCGACUUAUAUUCUGUAGCAAGGUUAACCGAAUAGGGGAGCCGAAGGGAAACCGAGUCUUAACUGGGCGUUAAGUUGCAGGGUAUAGACCCGAAACCCGGUGAUCUAGCCAUGGGCAGGUUGAAGGUUGGGUAACACUAACUGGAGGACCGAACCGACUAAUGUUGAAAAAUUAGCGGAUGACUUGUGGCUGGGGGUGAAAGGCCAAUCAAACCGGGAGAUAGCUGGUUCUCCCCGAAAGCUAUUUAGGUAGCGCCUCGUGAAUUCAUCUCCGGGGGUAGAGCACUGUUUCGGCAAGGGGGUCAUCCCGACUUACCAACCCGAUGCAAACUGCGAAUACCGGAGAAUGUUAUCACGGGAGACACACGGCGGGUGCUAACGUCCGUCGUGAAGAGGGAAACAACCCAGACCGCCAGCUAAGGUCCCAAAGUCAUGGUUAAGUGGGAAACGAUGUGGGAAGGCCCAGACAGCCGGAUGUUGGCUUAGAAGCAGCCAUCAUUUAAAGAAAGCGUAAUAGCUCACUGGUCGAGUCGGCCUGCGCGGAAGAUGUAACGGGGCUAAACCAUGCACCGAAGCUGCGGCAGCGACACUAUGUGUUGUUGGGUAGGGGAGCGUUCUGUAAGCCUGUGAAGGUGUGCUGUGAGGCAUGCUGGAGGUAUCAGAAGUGCGAAUGCUGACAUAAGUAACGAUAAAGCGGGUGAAAAGCCCGCUCGCCGGAAGACCAAGGGUUCCUGUCCAACGUUAAUCGGGGCAGGGUGAGUCGACCCCUAAGGCGAGGCCGAAAGGCGUAGUCGAUGGGAAACAGGUUAAUAUUCCUGUACUUGGUGUUACUGCGAAGGGGGGACGGAGAAGGCUAUGUUGGCCGGGCGACGGUUGUCCCGGUUUAAGCGUGUAGGCUGGUUUUCCAGGCAAAUCCGGAAAACCAAGGCUGAGGCGUGAUGACGAGGCACUACGGUGCUGAAGCGACAAAUGCCCUGCUUCCGUGAAAGCCUCUAAGCAUCAGGUAACAUCAAAUCGUACCCCAAACCGACACAGGUGGUCAGGUAGAGAAUACCAAGGCGCUUGAGAGAACUCGGGUGAAGGAACUAGGCAAAAUGGUGCCGUAACUUCGGGAGAAGGCACGCUGAUAUGUAGGUGAAGCGACUUGCUCGUGGAGCUGAAAUCAGUCGAAGAUACCAGCUGGCUGCAACUGUUUAUUAAAAACACAGCACUGUGCAAACACGAAAGUGGACGUAUACGGUGUGACGCCUGCCCGGUGCCGGAAGGUUAAUUGAUGGGGUUAGCGGUAACGCGAAGCUCUUGAUCGAAGCCCCGGUAAACGGCGGCCGUAACUAUAACGGUCCUAAGGUAGCGAAAUUCCUUGUCGGGUAAGUUCCGACCUGCACGAAUGGCGUAAUGAUGGCCGGCUGUCUCCACCCGAGACUCAGUGAAAUUGAACUCGCUGUGAAGAUGCAGUGUACCCGCGGCAAGACGGAAAGACCCCGUGAACCUUUACUAUAGCUUGACACUGAACAUUGAGCCUUGAUGUGUAGGAUAGGUGGGAGGCUUUGAAGUGUGGACGCCAGUCUGCAUGGAGCCGACCUUGAAAUACCACCCUUUAAUGUUUGAUGUUCUAACGUUGGCCCGUAAUCCGGGUUGCGGACAGUGUCUGGUGGGUAGUUUGACUGGGGCGGUCUCCUCCUAAAGAGUAACGGAGGAGCACGAAGGUUGGCUAAUCCUGGUCGGACAUCAGGAGGUUAGUGCAAUGGCAUAAGCCAGCUUGACUGCGAGCGUGACGGCGCGAGCAGGUGCGAAAGCAGGUCAUAGUGAUCCGGUGGUUCUGAAUGGAAGGGCCAUCGCUCAACGGAUAAAAGGUACUCCGGGGAUAACAGGCUGAUACCGCCCAAGAGUUCAUAUCGACGGCGGUGUUUGGCACCUCGAUGUCGGCUCAUCACAUCCUGGGGCUGAAGUAGGUCCCAAGGGUAUGGCUGUUCGCCAUUUAAAGUGGUACGCGAGCUGGGUUUAGAACGUCGUGAGACAGUUCGGUCCCUAUCUGCCGUGGGCGCUGGAGAACUGAGGGGGGCUGCUCCUAGUACGAGAGGACCGGAGUGGACGCAUCACUGGUGUUCGGGUUGUCAUGCCAAUGGCACUGCCCGGUAGCUAAAUGCGGAAGAGAUAAGUGCUGAAAGCAUCUAAGCACGAAACUUGCCCCGAGAUGAGUUCUCCCUGAGACUUAGAGUCUCCUGAAGGAACGUUGAAGACGACGACGUUGAUAGGCCGGGUGUGUAAGCGCAGCGAUGCGUUGAGCUAACCGGUACUAAUGAACCGUGAGGCUUAACCUUACAACGCCGAAG
rnacentral:rRNA from 1 species